GGUGCUAACUUGGAAGCUUGAGCAGAGGGGAUGGUAGGGCCGAUGAACUGGGGGGAUUGAUAAUGAAACAGGAAGGCUUUCCUCACCAAAUGCCCAGCUGGUGCCUGGAAGCUGAUCGGGAUCCAGAGCCUAGUUCACAGAUUAGAGGACCCUGCAGUGAGUUGGCAGUCUCCGCGGGCGGGGCCGUUGAACAGGGGUUUGCCCUCUGGAUGGUCUGAAGGAAGAUGUUAAUUACGAAAGAACAUCCGGUUCUUGGCAUUCUGUGUAGAAGAAAUCAAUGAUUUUGAAGACCCUAAAGAGAAUCACUGAUUUUGCGGAGGCUUAAUAAAAAGUCAACAAUCAAACAAAAGCCUUUUCCCCUCUGAAUCAUUAUAUGCUGUUGUUCCUGAACAUCUGGGCGGAGGGGAGGUCUGCCUUCACGUGGGCCUCCUCAAAGUACUGCUUCUCGGGCUGUAGCUGUGUCUCUGUUUAUGCCUCAUUUGGAACUGAAGCCAUCAUUCCAAGAUUCUCUUUCUGGAGCUGCCACUAACUAUGUGGGUGAAUUAUUUUCCAACUUUGAACUUCAGUUUUCAAAAUGGAACAAGUCAGGCGAGACUUGCUGUAAUUGAUGAAAGUCGAUGAAAAUACCACUCAGAUUUAGGGCUUAAUCGUAUACUCUUCUGUUGUUUCCUGGGUAUCCAUCUCGUCUUGACAGCCAGCUCUUCAAGCAGGGGGACAGUGUCACACUCCAUGGGAAAGAGCAUAAAAUGUAGAAGCAGAAGCCGUGGGUUCAGGCCCCAGCUCUGUGACCUGGCAGCUCACGUCGCCUUUGGUGAGUCAGUGAACCUCUGCCACGCAUGCUCUCCUCCACUGUAAAACUAGCUGACGGACCCAAAACACAGGGUAAUUUUGAGGACUAAGGGAAAUAAUCAUUAACACAGCACUUGAUAAAUUUUAAAAAAGGAUGUUCAUUAUGGUUAUUUGUGUUGCCCCAGAGCCCUGCCAUGUGCAACGUUAAAUAAGUUUUGUUGAAUGCUGUCUAAGAACAAAGCUCAGACUUUUGCCUUUACUGAUUUUAAAAUCACUGAAGAAGAGUAUUGUUGGUAUAUAAUUGAAACUGAUUUCAUUUCCAAUGCAAAA
rnacentral:lncRNA from 1 species